rnacentral:misc_RNA from 1 species
UUUCUUUGUUCGUUAAAGGAUUGUGAAGGUUUCAGGCGGAGAGAUUUCUUCUUCUUACAUCUUCAAGCGGCGUCGUUUAGUGUUGUUCUGUGGUUAAUUUUUCGAGGAUUUAGGGUUAGGGUUUGUGGAUUUGGGAGUUGUUUGAGUGAAACCCUAGAUGUUAUGAAGCAUCGAGUAGCCGUAUCGUUGGGGUUGAGUUGAUCGACGGUCGAGAUCUCGUCACCGGAUGGAGGGAGGUAG